rnacentral:rRNA from 1 species
UACGUAGGGUGCGAGCGUUAAUCGGAAUUACUGGGCGUAAAGUGUGCGCAGGCGGCCGAGCAAGUCGAGUGUGAAAGCCCCGAGCUUAACUUGGGAACUGCGCUCGAAACUACUUGGCUAGAGUGUGGCAGAGGGAGGUGGAAUUCCACGUGUAGCGGUGAAAUGCGUAGAGAUGUGGAGGAACACCGAUGGCGAAGGCAGCCCCCUGGGUCGACACUGACGCUCAGGCACGAAAGCGUGGGGAGCAAACAGG